GAGUUUGAUCAUGGCUCAGGACGAACGCUGGCGGUAUGCCUAAUACAUGCAAGUCGAGCGCAGGAAGCAGACUGAAGCCUUCGGGUGGAUGUCUGUGGAAUGAGCGGCGGAUGGUGAGUAUCACGUGGGUAACCUGCCUGUAAGCUUGGGAUAACUCCGGGAAACCGGUGCUAAUACCAGAUAAGAUUUCCGUUCGCAUGAACGGAAAAUGAAAGGCGGCUUCUGCUGUCACUUACAGAUGGACCCGCGUCGCAUUAGCUAGUUGGUGGGGUAAAGGCUCACCAAAGCAACGAUGCGUAGCCGACCUGAGAGGGUGAUCGGCCACACUGGGACUGAGACACGGCCCAGACUCCUACGGGAGGCAGCAGUAGGGAAUCUUCGCAAUGGACGAAAGUCUGACGAGCAAUACCGCGUGAGUGAUGAGGUCUUCGGAUCGUAAAACUCUGUUGUUAAGGAGAACAAGUGCUAAUCUAAUACAUUAGUGCCCUG
rnacentral:rRNA from 1 species